UGUCAGCUGCGAGGUGACCAGUUGGGACCCCUCCCUCUUGUAGGACUCUGGGAGGGAGGGUGUGGGACAGAUGGACGGGUUGCAGUCGGCCCCCGAGUCCCCGGCGGUGUGACCCACUUGGGGGCUCCCACCUGCUCCUCGUUGCUUCCACCUCCCCUGUGCAUCGGCGCCCCGAGGAAGCUCAUGGGGGCGAGCGGCCCAAGAGAUGCUUCACCAUCUGCCCCAGUUCCCCAGGUUCCUUCCCAAAGAUCGGCCGAGGGUUCAGAGGGUGAGGCUGGCGUCUUCGCCAUGGGGCGGCCUCUGUAAUCUCACACGGAUGUGGCUGUGCUCAGCCCCUCAUAGUUUACCAUUAAAAUGGCCCACGUCUGGUGACGCUUAGCCAGGAAUAGGAUGGAAGUGGCGUGAAGCGGGCUGCCUUGCUAUAGUGGAGGAAGGUGCAGCCUGGCUUCCCAGGGCUGGCCAGCGAGUGGGCUCACGGCCGCCCAGCAGGGAGGGCUGCGGGGACGGUGCUCUGAUGGACAGAAGGGAGUUGUCCUAGGUGACGUGACCUCCCAGUCCUCAGGCAUGGCACCCGCAGGGCGCACUGGGCACAGGGCCUGUGCACCUCUGCUGCCUCUCACGCCUCCCUUACAGGGCUCCCGGAGGUGAAGGGGAUUCUCCCAAUAGCUCGUGGUCCCCUGGAGCAGCCAGACCGCGCUGGGCAACCUGCCCCUGCCCAGCAGAGCGGGUACAUCGUGGCCUGACGGACUCUCUCAGCCUCUAUCAGGUUUACGUGCUGGCUGCGACUUUGCUGGGAAACAGCUCUCAGCAGAACAUCACAUGGGAACUUUGGGCCUUGCUAAUUCUGCAUAUUCCUCAAGGAUGUAAGUAUGGACCAUUCAGGUGUCGAAAAACUGUGUGGCCGGGUUGCCGGGUUGUAUGCAGCAGACCGAGGUCCUCGAACUGCAGCUUCAGCUUCUUACCACUAACUCCAGACUUCAAACCCUCCCCCGGUACCCCGGGCAGCACCCUAUGAGCAGACUGAGCUGCAUGAGUCUGUGGGUCUGAAAGGGUGGAUGGGGACAGGAAUGUGUUUGAGAUUAGAAAAUAGCAAGGUAUCCUGGUCCAUAGCGGGAUUACUGAAAGGCGUCUGAGAUAGACAUGGGAGGUGUGGGCUAACGUCUGUGUCCGAAGAAAUACGUCCCAGGCCAAGGCAACCGUGUAUUCAACAGACAUCUCCUCCAGGGCCCCUCUGCUGCAGUUAGGCUGCCAGGUGGGGUGAGCAUGGGUUCAGUUCCAAUGGACAAAGUGACUUGCAAGGCAGAUGAUGACCCCUCGCUCUCCCCCGCUCCCUUCUCGCCUGCACUGCCUUCCCUUCCCUGUCACCUGGAAGCAGAGCUGUGUGACCUUGACUUACCAUGCACCGGGCACUGCGCUGUGUUCUGUGUCCUAACAGCAGCUCCUCCCAUUUCACACCAAUAACUUGCCCAAAGCCUCAAAACUAGUACAAAGAUUUUAUACUAGCUAAUUCCACAGCCACUUAACUGUGGGUCACUGACCUUUCAGUUUAGCCGUCUGUGUCUGUGAAAGGAUGCAGAGAUUUUUUUUUUUUAAUUUUAAUUUUUGGCUGCAUUGGGUCUUCAUUGCUGUGCGUGGGUUUUCCUCUAGUUGUGGCGAGCAGGGGC